UCCUGUCAGGCUAAGAAGUUAAAGUGUCUGCUUCUAAUGCAGGAGACCUGGGUUCGAUUCCUGGGUCAGGAA
rnacentral:tRNA from 1 species